AUUGAACGCUGGCGGCAGGCUUAACACAUGCAAGUCGAGCGAGCGGCGGACGGGUGAGUAAUGUCUGGGAAACUGCCUGAUGGAGGGGGAUCACCACUGGAAACGGUAGCUAAUACCGCAUACCAUCAGAUGUGCCCAGAUGGGAUUAGCUAGUGGGUGGGGUAAUGGCUCACCUAGGCGACGAUCCCUAGCUGGUCUGAGAGGAUGACCAGCCACACUGGAACGGAGACACGGUCCAGACUCCUACGGGAGGCAGCAGUGGGGAAUAUUGCACAAUGGGCGCAAGCCUGAUACAGCCAGGCCGCGUGUGUGAAGAAGGCCUUCGGGUUGUAAAGCACUUUCAGCGGGGAGGCGUUACUCGCAGAAGAAGCACCGGCUAACUCCGUGCCAGCAGCCGCGGUAAUAC
rnacentral:rRNA from 1 species